CAAUCAGUGUUUUCUGACAAGUGUGAAAGAAUGAACGCUUAUGAUCUGAUGAAAGCUGAGAUGGAAUGUUCAUUAAUAAGCCUAGAGUGCUGCAAAGAAGAAAAGGGUGUGUUUGCAAGAAUGCAACAAGGAAAAGUCUAAACUUGCGGUUGAACUUGCUCAGAUGAAAGAAUUGCUAGAGAAUUCAAAAUUGGCUGUGAAUAUUCAGGAGGG
rnacentral:misc_RNA from 1 species